CCAGGUGUAGCUCAAUUGGCAGAGCGCGUGCUUUGGGAGCAUGAGGCAGCAGGAUCGUAACCUGUCACUUGGACCA
rnacentral:tRNA from 1 species